CCGCCCCGCCCCGCCCCGGCCGCGCCGUCGGGCCGUGAGGUCACCGGGCCUGCGACGUCAGCGCCGGCUGGGGGGGUGGGACCCGGCCAACGCUUGUGCAGCCCGCGGGCCGCGCACUCACGUCCGACGCUUUCUUCUCCGUGAGCUCCAACUUCUCCUGCGCCUCCUUCAGGUCCUCCGCGUACUUGUCCAGUUCGUCCUCGGUCCCACUGAGCUUCUUCUGCAGGGGUGACCCUAGCACCGCCACUCCACGAAUGCCACUGCGAGCAGGGAGUCGCGUCCUGCCCCGGUGCGGGGACUCGCUGCGCUUCAGAGCAGUGGGGUCCCCGAUACUCUUGGGGAAGCCAGGAGAGCUUUUGGAAAACGGAAGGCCUCUGGCGCCUGCCAGAAACACCGCACGUUCGAGGACUCUGGCCUUUGGGGCGCAGCCUCCUGGCGGUCCCUGAGAGGCAGAAAGAGGACCCUGGCUCCCCUGCUUCGGACUUGGCUUGGUGAAGAAGGGACCCACCCUUUACACACUUUUGCUGUGUGUUCAUUGUCAUUAAAAUGUCCCCAGAUUUUCA